AGCCACACUGGGACUGAGACACUGCCCAGACUCCUACGGGAGGCUGCAGUCGAGGAUCUUGGACAAUGGGGGAAACCCUGAUCCAGCGACGCUGCGUGGAGGAUGAAGGCCUUCGGGUUGUAAACUCCUGUCAUUCGGGAAAAAUGGCCUCGGGAUUAACACUCUCGAGGAGUGAUUGUACCGGAAGAGGAAGCCACGGCUAACUCUGUGCCAGCAGCCGCGGUAAUACAGAGGUGGCAAGCGUUGUUCGGAUUUACUGGGCGUAAAGGGUGCGUAGGUGGUUGCUUAAGUCGAGUGUGAAAUCCCAAGGCUCAACCUUGGAAUUGCGUUCGAAACUGGGUGACUUGAGUACAGGAGGGGAGAGCGGAAUUCUUGGUGUAGCGGUGAAAUGCGUUGAUAUCAAGAAGAACACCGGUGGCGAAGGCGGCUCUCUGGAAUGUUACUGACACUGAGGCACGAAAGCUGGGGGAGCAAACAGGAUUAGAUACCCUGGUAGUCCCAGCUGUAAACGGUGCGCACUUGGUGUGGGAGGAUUUGACCCCUUCCGUGCCGGAGCUAACGCGUUAAGUGCGCCGCCUGGGGAGUACGGUCGCAAGACUAAAACUCAAAGAAAUUGACGGGGGCCCGCACAAGCGGAGGAGCAUGUGGCUCAAUUCGAUGCAACGCGAAGAACCUUACCAGGGCUUGACAUGCAGCUGCACGUCCCGUGAAAGCGGGAUUCUUUCGAGGGUGCUGCACAGGUGCUGCAUGGCUGUCGUCAGUUCGUGCCGUGAGGUGUUGGGUUAAGUCCCGCAACGAACGCAACCCCUGUGUUUAGUUGCUACCAGGUCAUGCUGGGCACUCUAAACAGACUGCCUGUACAAAACAGGAGGAAGGUGGGGACGACGUCAAGUCAGUAUGGCCCUUACGCCCUGGGCUGCACACGUGCUACAAUGGUCGGUACAAAGGGACGCAAGACCGCGAGGUGGAGCAAAUCCCAAAAACCGGCCCCAGUUCGGAUUGAAGGCUGCAACUCGCCUUCAUGAAGUUGGAUUCGCUAGUAAUGGCGCAUCAGCUACGGCGCCGUGAAUACGUUCCCGGGCCUUGUACACACCGCCCGUCACAUCAUGAAAGCCGUCUGCACCCAAAGUCGCUAAUCCAACCCGCAAGGGGGGUAGGUGCCUAAGGUGUGGGUGGUGAUUGGGAUGAAGUCGUAACAAGGUA
rnacentral:rRNA from 1 species